ACCUAAUGCUUUGGAAAUAAUAAAUAAGCAAUCACCCUCUACCAUAUCUUUUUGGAUAUAUGACAUGUUUACAUGCUAUUGCAGAUACAACAAAAACAUUGGUUAAAAAGUAAUUAAUGUUUAAAUCAUGUCAUCUCAUCAGAUUUCCAAUGUUAAGAGAGUCACGAGGCGUCUGGAAGGUCUAAACAUCAGAAAAGAUCAAGGUCAGAAACUAACAGAAGCUCUGAAAGAUUUUCAGUAGUUUAUUCAUAUUUUGAAGUCACUUCCAAAGUCUUCAGUGUGUCUAGAAGAAUGUGCAAGAAUUGAGCUGUUGAAUCUCUACAAGCAGUGGAAGAAAGGGCAGCUGAUCAGUAUGCUUCCCAUUAUGGACUUUGUUAUGAAGACAUUACUUGAGGAAAAGGACUCAGUUUUGAAACUGAAGCUUUAACAUCAGUACAAACGGAAACAGGU